UGAGGAAUAUUGGUCAAUGGCCGGGAGGCUGAACCAGCCAAGUCGCGUGAAGGAAGACGGCCUUACGGGUUGUAAACUUCUUUUGCAGGGGAAUAAAGACAGUUACGCGUAACUGGUUGCAUGUACCUUGCGAAUAAGCAUCGGCUAACUCCGUGCCAGCAGCCGCGGUAAUACGGAGGAUGCGAGCGUUAUCCGGAUUUAUUGGGUUUAAAGGGUGCGUAGGUGGGCUGAUAAGUCAGCGGUGAAAUUUUGGUCGCUUAACGAUAAAAUUGCCGUUGAAACUGCCGGCCUUGAGUAUGGAUGAAGCAGGCGGAAUGCGUGGUGUAGCGGUGAAAUGCUUAGAGAUCACGCAGAACUCCGAUUGCGUAGGCAGCUUGCUAAGGCAUAACUGACACUGAAGCACGAAAGCGUGGGUAUCAAACAGGAUUAGAUACCCUGGUAGUCCACGCAGUAAACGAUGAUUACUAGGAGUUUGCGAUAAACGGUAAGCUCUACAGCGAAAGCGUUAAGUAAUCCACCU
rnacentral:rRNA from 1 species